UUUUCUUUGAUGGUCAAAUUACCAUAUAAGGACCUCAAUUUUUGAAUUCCAUAGCUAUUUAACACUUGUAGCUACUAGAAUUCAACUUUUGCAUUUUAUGCGAUUUAGUCCUUCUCGUAAUUAAGCACAUAAUCAAUAAAAUUUUUUUAUCAAAAUUUUCACAUGACAUUUUUACCAUAUUAUGGACCAUGUAAUAAAAUAAAAAUAAAUUUUAUUUUUGGAUCGGAUUUGUGGUCC
rnacentral:lncRNA from 1 species